UAACAAGAGCUAAUUUAGUGUUCCAUUGUUGAUGGGAAGGGAAAUUUGUUAUAA
rnacentral:tRNA from 1 species